CGACCCCAAGUCAGGCGGGAAUACCCGCUGAGUUUAAGCAUAUCAAUAAGCGGAGGAAAAGAAACUUACUAGGAUUCCCUUAGUAACGGCGAGCGAACCGGGAAUAGCCCAGCUUGAAAAUCGGUUGCCUUUGGCGUCCGAAUUGUAGUCUGAAAAAAAGCGUC
rnacentral:rRNA from 1 species